GACGAACGCUGGCGGCGUGCUUAACACAUGCAAGUCGAACGCUGAAGCUCAGCUUUUGUUGGGUGGAUGAGUGGCGAACGGGUGAGUAACACGUGAGUAACCUGCCCCCUUCUUUGGGAUAACGCCCGGAAACGGGUGCUAAUACUGGAUAUUCACUGGUCUUCGCAUGGGGGUUGGUGGAAAGGGUUUUUCUGGUGGGGGAUGGGCUCGCGGCCUAUCAGCUUGUUGGUGGGGUGAUGGCCUACCAAGGCUUUGACGGGUAGCCGGCCUGAGAGGGUGACCGGUCACAUUGGGACUGAGAUACGGCCCAGACUCCUACGGGAGGCAGCAGUGGGGAAUAUUGCACAAUGGGCGCAAGCCUGAUGCAGCGACGCCGCGUGAGGGAUGGAGGCCUUCGGGUUGUGAACCUCUUUCGCUCAUGGUCAAGCCGCAACAAUGGUUGUGGUGAGGGUAGUGGGUAAAGAGGCGCCGGCUAACUACGUG
rnacentral:rRNA from 1 species